rnacentral:rRNA from 1 species
UACGGAGGGGGCUAGCGUUGUUCGGAAUUACUGGGCGUAAAGCGCACGUAGGCGGACCAGAAAGUUGGGGGUGAAAUCCCGGGGCUCAACCUCGGAACUGCCUUCAAAACUAUUGGUCUUGAGUUCGAGAGAGGUGAGUGGAAUUCCGAGUGUAGAGGUGAAAUUCGUAGAUAUUCGGAGGAACACCAGUGGCGAAGGCGGCUCACUGGCUCGAUACUGACGCUGAGGUGCGAAAGCGUGGGGAGCAAAC